AGAGCGAACGCUGGCGGCAGGCCUAAUACAUGCAAGUCGAGCGGCCACUUCGGUGGCAGCGGCGGACGGGUGAGUAACGCGUGGGAAUGUGCCCUUUGGUACGGAACAACUGAGGGAAACUUCAGCUAAUACCGUAUGUGCCCUUCGGGGGAAAGAUUUAUUGCCAUUGGAGCAGCCCGCGUUGGAUUAGCUAGUUGGUGGGGUAAAGGCCCACCAAGGCGACGAUCCAUAGCUGGUCUGAGAGGAUGAUCAGCCACACUGGGACUGAGACACGGCCCAGACUCCUACGGGAGGCAGCAGUAGGGAAUCUUGCGCAAUGGGACGAAAGCCUGACGCAGCCAUCGCCGCGUAGAAUGAUGAAGGUCUUAGGUAUUAGUAAAAUUCUUACGACCGGGGAAGAUAAUGACGUACCGAGAAGACGCCCG
rnacentral:rRNA from 1 species